AAGUCAUAACAAGGUUUCUGUAGGUGAACCUGCAGAAGGAUCAUUAUUGAAUUGUUACAAAUGGGGGAAAGUUUCGACUUUCCUCUACACUCUUUAUUCCUAACACCUGUGAAUCGUUGCUGAGUUCGCUCAGUAGCAACAUUUUUUUUAUACACACAUAAUAGUUUUAGAACGUAAAAAAUAUAUAAUAAAAAUACAA
rnacentral:misc_RNA from 1 species